GAAGCAGGCUAGACAAUCGCUGGCUUUGGUGUGAGCCAAAGCGGGAGGAAGGUCCGGACUCCAUAGAGCAGGGUGACGGCUAACGGCCGUACGUUGAAAGCCGCAAGGUAUAAGACGAGGAAUAGGGCCACAGAGACGAGCGUAUUUAGUUACGGUGAAACGCGGUAACCUCCACCCGGAGCAAUUUCAAAUAGGCACGCGUUGAGGCGGCUCGCGGAGCGUGCGGGUAGAAAGCUUGAGCCUGGG
rnacentral:RNase_P_RNA from 1 species